CUACCAUAUCAUGUUGAUAACACCGGUUCCCGUACGAUGACCGAAGUUAAGCAACGUCGAGAUUUAUUAAUAUUUAGCUGGUUGACCGUUUGCGAAUACCAGGUGCU